GACAGUCAGACAGCGUAGCAGAUGGCCGCGCGAGGGGGCGGGGUCCAGGCGGAGCGCGGGGGGACCCCAAGCGUCGGGGCGCGAGGGAACCAAUCAAUUCCUGCAGCCGCUCCGGGGCUAGAAAACAAGUGUAGACGCAGAGAUUCGCGCCCCACCAGCGGUCCCUAGUUUACGGUAGAAAACACGAUUUCCUUUCGAUACGAAAGCGCGUGUAGAGCGUAGUUCGGAGAGCCGGCGGUCCGCAGUAACUGGCUGGGGGAGGCGGUUUGCGGCUGCCCGGGGCGCUGAGCGCUGGGGCAGUUUCUCCUGACCUCUCCCUGCGUCGGGCCAGCCAAGGGGAAAGCCUCGAAUGGGAGAGAGGGGUGAAGGCAGAGGAUGGGUGAGGAAGGAAAGGGCUGAGAAAUGGCAAGAGCCCAUCCUGCCUCGGAAACUACAUAAUGGCAGGGAAGGACCGCCAGCAAGACUGGAACCAGUACAAGUUGCACAGUUGUUUGUGCAUUUGACUCAGCUACAGCAGUAGUUGCACCGGGAGGGGCAAAAUGUCACCCAAGAGGUAGAGAAGAAAAAAUAGCAAUUGGAGUCUCACAGAACUUCUUAGAUCCUACUGUUGAAGUCUGUGGCUCCUCUCUGGUGAAAUGGAUCCUGGGAAGAUGUGGCACAGAAGGGGCAGUUCAUAAAGAGGAAUGGACUUCAAAUGAAGAGACCUCAUUAAAAUGCAUGCUUCUCAUUCUUGGAGCUCUACAAAUAAAGGAGAAGCAAGAGACCAUCAACAAGAUGGUGUUUGUUUCAAGUUUUACAGGUACCUUUUGUUCCACAGCAUCAUAUCAAGGGGUAUGUUGUUAUUUAAAUUAUAUUCAAAUAGUCCAAUAAUGCCAAUUUAGGGCUGAAAGACAAGGAGAAGCUGAGAACAUAUGAGAUGACGCUUUCGGUCUUAUAAGUAAAUUAAGGCAAUAUUAUUGGUAAUA